rnacentral:rRNA from 1 species
AGAGUUUGAUCCUGGCUCAGAUUGAACGCUGGCGGCAGGCCUAACACAUGCAAGUCGAGCGGUAACAGGAGAAAGCUUGCUUUCUUGCUGACGAGCGGCGGACGGGUGAGUAAUGUAUGGGGAUCUGCCCGAUAGAGGGGGAUAACUACUGGAAACGGUGGCUAAUACCGCAUGACGUCUACGGACCAAAGCAGGGGCUCUUCGGACCUUGCGCUAUCGGAUGAACCCAUAUGGGAUUAGCUAGUAGGUGAGGUAAAGGCUCACCUAGGCGACGAUCUCUAGCUGGUCUGAGAGGAUGAUCAGCCACACUGGGACUGAGACACGGCCCAGACUCCUACGGGAGGCAGCAGUGGGGAAUAUUGCACAAUGGGCGCAAGCCUGAUGCAGCCAUGCCGCGUGUAUGAAGAAGGCCUUAGGGUUGUAAAGUACUUUCAGCGGGGAGGAAGGUGAUAAAGUUAAUACCUUUAUCAAUGACGUACCCGCAGAGAGACCGAUGCAA